rnacentral:rRNA from 1 species
CUACGUAGGUGGCAAGCGUUAUCCGGAAUUAUUGGGCGUAAAGGGAGCGCAGGCGGUUUAUUAAGUUUAUGGUGAAAGUUCGGGGCUCAACCCCGUGAUGCCAUAGAAACUGGUAGACUUGAGUGCAGGAGAGGUUAGUGGAAUUCCAUGUGUAGCGGUAAAAUGCGUAGAUAUAUGGAGGAACACCAGUGGCGAAGGCGGCUAACUGGCCUGUAACUGACGCUGAGGCUCGAAAGCGUGGGGAGCAAAUAGGAUUAGAUACCCUAGUAGUCCACGCCGUAAACGAUGGAUACUAAGUGUUGGAGAAAUUCAGUGCUGUAGUUAACGCAAUAAGUAUCCCGCCUGGGGAGUAUGCGCGCAAGCGUAAAACUCAAAUGAAUUGACGGGG